rnacentral:rRNA from 1 species
CCUACGGGGGGCAGCAGUGGGGAAUAUUGGACAAUGGGGGGAACCCUGAUCCAGCGACGCCGCGUGAGUGAAGAAGUAUUUCGGUAUGUAAAGCUCUAUCAGCAGGGAAGAAAGAAAUGACGGUACCUGACUAAGAAGCCCCGGCUAACUACGUGCCAGCAGCCGCGGUAAUACGUAGGGGGCAAGCGUUAUCCGGAUUUACUGGGUGUAAAGGGAGCGUAGACGGUUACGCAAGUCUGGAGUGAAAGGCGGGGGCUCAACCCCCGGACUGCUUUGGAAACUGUAUAACUGGAGUGCAGGAGAGGUAAGUGGAAUUCCUAGUGGAGCGGUGAAAUGCGUAGAUAUUAGGAGGAACACCAGUGGCGAAGGCGGCUUACUGGACUGUAACUGACGUUGAGGCUCGAAAGCGUGGGGAGCAAACAGGAUUAGAUACCCUUGUAGUC